rnacentral:rRNA from 1 species
UACGUGGGGUGCAAGCGUUAAUCGGAAUUACUGGGCGUAAAGCGUGCGCAGGCGGUUUUGUAAGUCUGUCGUGAAAUCCCCGGGCUCAACCUGGGAAUUGCGAUGGAGACUGCAAGGCUAGAAUCUGGCAGAGGGGGGUAGAAUUCCACGUGUAGCAGUGAAAUGCGUAGAGAUGUGGAGGAACACCGAUGGCGAAGGCAGCCCCUGGGUCAAGGACU